ACUCCUACGGGAGGCAGCAGUGGGGAAUAUUGCACAAUGGGCGCAAGCCUGAUGCAGCAACGCCGUGUGAGUGAAGAAGGUUUUCGGUAUCGUAAAACUACUGUCCUAAGGGAAGAAACAAAAUAGACGGUACCUUAGGAGGAAGCCCCGGCCUAACUACGUGCCAGCAGCCGCGGUAAUACGUAGGGGCGAAGCGUUAUCCGGAAUCACUGGGCGUAAAGGGUGCGUAGGCGGCUUAGCAAGCCAGGGGUGAAAGGCAUUGGCUCAACCAAUGUAAGCCUUUGGAACUGUUAAGCUUGAGUGCAGGAGAGGUAAGUGGAAUUCCUAGUGUAGAGGUGAAAUUCGUAGAUAUUAGGAGGAACACCAGUGGCGAAGGCGACUUACUGGACUGUAACUGACGCUGAUGCACGAAAGCGUGGGUAGCGAACAGGAUUAGAUACCCUGGUAGCACAGAG
rnacentral:rRNA from 1 species